rnacentral:rRNA from 1 species
AACGAACGCUGGCGGCAGGCUUAACACAUGCAAGUCGAGCGCCCCGCAAGGGGCGCGGCAGCCGGGUGAGUAACGCGUGGGAACGUACCUUUUGGUUCGGAACAACUCCGGGAAACUGGAGCUAAUACCGGAUAAGCCCUAACGGGGAAAGAUUUAUCGCCGAAAGAUCGGCCCGCGUCUGAUUAGCUAGUUGGUGAGGUAACGGCUCACCAAGGCGACGAUCAGUAGCUGGUCAGAGAGGAUGAUCAGCCACACUGGGACUGAGACACGGCCCAGACUCCUACGGGAGGCAGCAGUGGGGAAUAUUGGACAAUGGGCGCAAGCCUGAUCCAGCCAUGCCGCGUGAGUGAUGAAGGCCUUAGGGUUGUAAAGCUCUUUUGUCCGGGAAGAUAAUGACUGUACCGGAAGAAUAAGCCCCGGCUAACUUCGUG